UGUAUUUUAUAUAUGGGACUCCGAAGAACUCGGAAAAUGUUUUCAACGAUCAAAAUCACACCAAACCAAAAUUCAACAUUUUCCUGCAACUUUUUGUUUUUCUCUUAAUUAUCUUAGCAACCAAGAAGAAGAAAAAACAGGGGAAAAAUAAAACUCUUUUUUCUUCUUCUUCUUCUGAAUUUCUCAGUUGCUUUUUUAUUUCUCUUUUGAAUCUGUUUUAUUGAUCGGUGAGAGACAUUCUACAUAACCAAUUUUUUAACGGUUGAUUUUUCUCUUUGGAAAGAAAACCAACAGGGUAGAUAUCAUAAACUCAUGUGCCUUUAGAAUCCUUCUAUCUUCAGUGGUAAUGAUAAUCCGACUUCCAGAACCAAACAAAGAAAGCUGCCAAGGCCUCAAAUUGCUGUAGAUUGUCUACAUCAUCAAGAAUGAUAAGCACUCAUGAAUCUUGUAGCCAUUCCUUGAUUGCAUCUAAAUUAUUUAUCCUCAUAUCCCUUUUGUUGAAAAUCUUGGACAGAAGUUGGUUUUGUAAACACAACAUGGAAUCAUAGUCAUCAACACCCAUUAUGCUCUUAUAACUUCCUUUGAGGUUCCCCAUAAAACAAACUAAGUGGAAACUCGCUACAAAGUUGGUUAUAUAGAGCUCUAGCAAUGGUAGUCUUACAAAUUCCCGCAGGACCCCAAAUUACAAUCAUCUUCACGUCAUCGCAUCCAAGGCAUUAAGAGAGACGAUUUACAUACCAAUUGAGAGAGUGUUCCCCAGCAAUGGUUACAUACCAAUAAGCCAUUCAGUCUGUUUGAAACAUCAAUAAGAGGCGAUUAGCCCUAACAUAUGCAAACAAAAUCAUGUUAAGGAGUCUAAAUUUCCUUAAAGUGAAGCAUUUCCAAAAGAUAACUAAGUUCAUUAAGAGACGAUUUACAUACCAAUUAAGAGAGUGUCCCCGGCAAUCUGAGCUUCACCUCCUCAGUUUUCCCUUGACAAGUCUUCUCGAAAGCGCUCCCGAAAUCUCCCUCCCGUUUCCGUACAUCAGACGGAUAAACGUCUUAAAAAAUGGUCAUCACAAUCUGCUCUUGAGCUUCUUCGCACUUCAAGAUUUCAGCCAAUUCAUCUAAACACCAGCUGGAAGAAGCGUACCUUCUUCGAGAGCACCACAAUCGAGACUCUAGAUUCUCUAAUCGCUUGUACGAGCUCAGGUCCAAUCGUGUGGCCUCUCUUGAUCUCCUGAUCAUUGAAAGUUGUGAUUCCUUUUGCUUGCGAAAUGACAGUGUAAAUGACUGAGAAACCCUCUACGGAAAUCUGGACCGUGAAAGCUCGAAAAGACAUGGAAUCUCUUCAUACGAGACGAAGAAAAAGAAGCCAUGAAACAGAUUGGUAAAUUUUGAGAUUGAAGAAGAAGGUACCACAAUGGUUUUGGAUAAGCAAUCUAUGGAGUAGAAAACAAGUCUCUCGCUUAUAUAAUUGAAGAAAACGCGUAACGAGAGGAUUGAAAUUUCAAAGGGAUUUGUCUCUCUGUAGAGAAAAAUACAAAAAAUGUUUCCCUCAAAGUCGUCGAUGACCCAUAAGAGUGUUUCCUCAUGGUCUUGAGAACCUCAUAAGGUUUUGAAUUUUUGGCAAUCGGAAUUUUAUUUCGUAGAGAUGAGCUCAGAGCUGAAGCAUGAGACUCGGUGAGAAGAUGAUCGGAGGAAGAAGAAAGAACCAGACAUGAUUCAAAAUUAGGGAUCUUAAAACUCUCGAUAUCCAAUUGUAAAUUUGGUUUGAAAAACUAAACCGGCCUUUUCAAUUCGAUCAAAAUUGGUUUUCUGGUUAGGUUUUCUGGUUAGAAACAAAAAAAGAAAUUAGAGAUUUUCUUAGCAACCAAGAAGAACACAAAAACAGGGGAAAAACACAACUCCGUUUUUUCUUCUUCUUCUUCUGAUCCUCAGUUGCUUUCAAAUUCUCUUUUGAAUCUGUUGUAUUGAUCGGUGAGAGACACUCUACAUAACCAAUUUUUCAACGGUUGAUUUUGUCUUCAUCAAUUUUUUCAAUUUGAGAUUGUUUAUUUGGAUGAUCAGGUCGGAGAUUUACUCUGUUUUGGUUUUUGUAUGAUAGGCUUUUGUAUGCUCGAUUGAUCGAUCCUUAAAUCAUAAAGGAUCUUCAUUUCAGGUUUGGCCUCAAAACCCUAUGUUGCUUCUUCUUGAUCUAUAUAUAUCUUAAUGUUCUAUGGUCUCAGCUUCUGUUCUUUGCUACUACGUCUACACUCAGUUUCUUAGUAAAAGAGAAGUUAUCACAGAGUUACAAUGGUUCUGAAUAAGCCAUCUAUUGAAUACAACAGUAGUUUCUUACUUACCUGGAAAGCAAAUAUACACAAGACAAUAACUAACCCUAAUGCAAUGGUGCUGCUUGCAUUCAAUAGUCUUGUUCUCAUUGUCCCAGUAAGUGAACUCGAACAGAACCUUGCUCAUGGUCACAUCCACUUCGUUAAAUAUUUAUGCUUUGUUGAUGAUACAAGUCACCACCAAAUUAUAAAAACAGAUGUUCUGAUAGAGAACGAGUUGACACAUCUGAUUAAAGACAUGCGGGAUUACUCUUCUUGAUUCGUCUAGUUUCACACAGUUGCAGGAAUAACAAUAGAAUCUCUUCAAUGAUUCACACUUUGCUUACAUUUUCGACACUCAACGGACUCCAAAAGAUCGAUAUGUGACACAGAGUUUUCUGCAUUUGUGGAUGCUACGUUCUUUUUAAGACUUUUCGUUGCUGCUACUCUGAGUUUUAUCCAUCAAAUCCAUGCACUGCACUCAAUGAUCUGACAUAUUUACUGCUUGUGACAUUUUCAUCUUUAGAGAUCCGAGCGGCUCCAUCCUCAAUCGCAUUUGAUUCUUCUGUGUUUCUGGGACAACUUAGUGUGAAAAAUAAAGUGAUGUUUCACGGUGGAGCUUUUUGUCUUCUUUUUCUUAGACCAACAACCUGUGUGUUUAGCGUUAUCCACAUUCUCAACAUUUUGGUAGCCAAUGUUGCCUACGGCUUCAGGUUCACAGUCCAAAUAUUCAUCAUAUCCUUCUUUCAAGAUCUGUAUACCACACUCAAUAAUCUUGUUGUUAUCUGAGCAAGUGAAUUCGAACAGAAUCUCGCUUUGUGAGUGUACUCCACAGAGAGUUCUUUUCCGGGUAAGCAGACAUAUUUGGCUUUCAAAUGGUGUAUGAUUUCUCUUCAAAGGCUCGCCUACUAAAUUAAACCAACUACUACUUGGUCUUGGACAUAUCAAAAUUCAGUAAGAUAUAUGUAAAAACUUACUGUUCCGUUUCCUAGUACAUUGAGAAUGUCUUCAGUUUCUAUUAAGAAAAUGGUGUUUAUUGGCAUUUCCAUAUUUCGUAAAGAUUUGCUGUUUAUUGUUGGUUUGGUUGGUUGCUGCUACUAUUAGUUUAAAACGGAUCAAAUUCGGGUUUAUUGGCAUUUCCAUAUUUCGGGUUUCCAAAUUGGUUGGUUGGAGUUAUCCGAGAUACGGAGAUGCCAAUAAACGUCAAUUUUUAAUGGAGUAGAGAUAGUGAUGCCAAAUUGGGUGCAUCACCAUCUCUUGAUGCGAGCAAGACGAAGAAGGAGAAGAAGCCAUGAAAGAUAUGGUAAGCUUUGAUAUGGACGAUGAAGGUAUCACAACUGUUUUGGAUAAGCUAUCUACGGAACUGAUAUUUCAAAGGACUUUGUCCUCCUUGUAUAGAAAAAUACAAAAACAAAAUGUUUCCCCCAAAGUCGGUGAGGACCCCAUCCAUCCAUAAGGUUUGAUUUCGUUAAGAUUUGCUGUUUAUUAUUGGUUUGGUUUGGUUGCUGCUACUAUUAGUUUCAUAGUAAAAGAGAUGUUGAAAAAGUUAUCACAGAGUUUGCAAUUGUUCUGAAUAAGCCUAUGUAGCAGAACAAUGAAAGCAACUCUCUGUGAAGAAUUAAGAAAAUUGGAGCUAGGGGAUCAGAUAUUCCAGUCUCUCUACAGAUUUGGUCAUUUGGAUAAUCAGAAAUGUACACAAUUAUGUUUGCUCAUCAGUCAAAGCUUUGCUUCAUGUCCUUCACAAGUUUUCUCGAAUGCGUUGACAAGAUAACAAAACUUCUCUUAGUACUUAAACAGCUAACUAACUAGAUCACAAAAUAACAAGACUUUUCUUAGUACUUAAACAGCUAAUUAAGAAAUAAAUACAAGGCUUUGUCUAUUAAACCAAAACGGUAUAACUCAUACUGUCGUACAGAACCUAGUGUAGCGACAAUAUUGGGAUAUGCUUUGUCUACUACUAAUCACACUCACAAAGGUUUUGCAAAACAAAACAGAUUUUUGCUCAUGGAUUCUGUAAAUCCCAAUUAAUCUCCUACUAAUUUCUCUACUCUAAGAGUAUUAGCGUGUUACCAUAUCCACAAUAACAAAGCUUAAAGACAAGAGGUCUAUACUUAACAGAUUUGCCAAGAGGUAUCACUCAUUCACUCAUUAAAGAAAAAGAUGUGUAACUCAUUCAGUCAUAUACUAAGCUUAUAGACAAGAGGUGUGACUCAUUCAAAUUCACAAACUCACAAAGGUUUUGCAAGACAAACAGAUUUUUUUGUAAAUCCCAAUUAAUCUCCAUACCUCCUUAUACACAUUCGUUUGCAUUUAAGGACUUGAGCUACAGGGGAAGAGCCGGCAUUGUCACGAGUUUCGGGUUACUUGAUUAGAUGUUUUCAAUUUCAGAGAACUUGAAACCUUCUGCGUCAUAGUCUCCAUCUCCAUCUCCAACUUCAUAUCCAUCUGUGAGGUGAUUAUCGUCACCUCCAGUUUCCUAAUAAUCCACUUUGCUGCUGCUACUCUCAGUUUCACAGAUGUCCCCUUUGUCAGAACUCCACUCUGUCGUAUUCAUCUUCUUCUCUUUUAGACCAAAAAAAUUCUGAAGCCAACUCCUAAAACCUAUUUGUUUACUGGUUUUGAUGUUUUCAUCUCCAUUUCCAUCUUCGCUGCUGCUACUCUCAGUUUCAUGGCUGUCCACUUCGCUGCUGCUACUCUCAGUUUCAUAGUUGUCCAACUCCCUGAUGCUGCUACCCUCAGCUUCCUCUGUCAUGAUCUGUACACCACACUCACUAAUCUUGGCAUUGCCGACAUUGAAGCUGAACUCAAAUAUAAUCUCGCUCAUGGUCACAUCCACUUCAUGGCAUUUGUUUCCUUGGGGAAACAAAUCGCCAUGAAAUAUAAACAGAUGUUUUGACCGAAAAGACAAAGACAGAUAUUCAAACUCGUAGCUAUGAACUGUAACACCUCCUUUGCUUCUGAUACUACAACUUAUAGUUCUUAAUCCGGCGUACUCAACUGGCAAAAUGAGAAUGGAAGCCUUAAACCUUGAGGAAGCAGAGAGAGUACCCGGAGCCAGAGGGAUGGUUAUGGAUCUCCCUGUUGCUUUGUGAGUGAAAUCUGCAGGGAUGUUUUUACCUGGUAACCAUUUAUACAUGCCAACUGAUUGUUGUAUGAUUCCUCUUCUUGAUUCUUUAUCCAGUUUCAAACAGUUGCUGCCACUCUCAGUUUCAUGGCUGUCCACUUCGCUGCUACUACUCUCAGUUUCAUGGCUGUCCAAUUCCCUGAUGUUGCUACCCUCAACUUCCUCUCUCAUGAUCUGUACACCACACUCAAUAAUCUUGUCAUCGCCGAAAUCGCAGCUGAACUCAAAUAUAAUCUCGCUCAUGGUCACAUCGGCUUCAUGGCAUUUGUUUCCUUGGGGAAACAAAUCAUCAUGAAAUAUAAACAGAUGUUCUGACCGAAAAGACAAAGACAGAUGUGGACACUCGCAUCUAUGAACUGUAACACCUCCUUUGCUUCUUAUAGUACAGCUUACACCUUCAUAUCCGUAGUCCUUAACUGGGGAAAUGAGAAGGCAAGCCUUAAACCUUGAGGAAGCAGAGAGAGUACCCGGAGCCAGAGGGAUGGUUAUGGAUCUCCCUGUUGCUUUGUGAGUGAACUCUGCAGGGAUUUUUUUACCUGGUAAGCAUACAUAAUCGUAAAUUGAUUUUUGUAUGAUUCCUCUUCUUGAUUCUUUAUCCAGUUUCAAACAGUUGCUGAAUUGGAGUACAUUGGUUGGGGUAUGGAAAGAGAAGCGUACUCUCUUGAGUGAUACACAAUCGUUUGCAUCUAGGACCUUGAGGGAGGGGGGAAGACCCGGAAUUGACUCGAGUUUUGUGCACCUUUUGACAGAAAGCCAUUCUAGACGAGUGAGACCUAUGACGCAAUCUGGAAUCGUCUCUAUAUCACUGCCAUUAAGAAUUAGGUCAGUUAUAAAGAGUGGUACAUGUGUCAAUCUCUUGAGGCUGCUGCUGCAAAUGUUGAGGCGAUCAAGACGAGACAAACAUCCAGCAACUGAUGGAGGGACAUCUUCUAUAUCUGUAUCUCCGAGAUUGAGAACCUUGAUGUUACUGGAGAUUUCUGGAAAAGUUCUCAACCGUGAGCAACCAUUCAUGGUGAGUAUCUUAAGAGAUGCUAAGUUGAUGUUGCUGGGAAUAACUUGUAGCAUACAGCAAAAACCAACAUCUAGAAUCUUUAGUUUUUGUAGAUUCUUAAUAGAAGAUGGAAGCUCCACCAAACUUCCGCAGCCCUCAAGUGUCAAUUCCUCGAGAUUAGUAGCAUUUGAAAGAUUUGGGAUUUCUUUCAAUUGACGGGAAAACAUCAGAUCUAUGAUCUUGAGAUUAGGAAGGGACUGCAUGUUAAAUGAGAAAUAUUUCUUAUUUAAAUUGAAUCAUUAGAAGCACUAGAAAGAAUAUCGAAUACCAAACCUGGAUUCCUCCCCAGAGCUUCUCGAGAUUGCUAAAUGGCAUACGGAGUUCCAUGAGACGUUCCGGCUGAAACCUCCGAGGAAGACUUGUUCUUGGGUAAAAUUCCCAAUGUAGUAACCUAAGAAGAGGUAAAUAAUCCAAAUCUUCUGGUAUUUGCAAAGUACCUUCGCCGCCAAACCAACGCCUAAAGAUUCUUAGGAAUCGGAGAUUACGCAUUCCUUCAAAAGCCCCCUUACUUACAGAAACUUCUCCGAUAUUGGAUGUAUCAAAUGAUAUACCUAUGACUGAUCCAGUACCCUACAAAAUAACAUUGCCAAUGACUGAUGAAAUUGUUAUCACUAAAAAUAGGCAAUAUACAUGUAAGAACUUAAACUUACUGUUUCGGUUGACAGUACAUCACAAAUCUCAUCGGCCUCAAAUAAAAAUUGACGUUUCCCGGGCUCGUCAGACUGUUCAUGAACUAUCUGUCUACCCAAUUGUUGUAGUAGAUGGUGCAUCACUAUACGGCCAUAGGUAGAUUUAUGCACGAGAGAUUUAUCGGCUAGGGUCUCUAACCCAUUCCUAACAUCCAAGUUACUAUCAGAAAGCACAGAUAUCACAUUAUCAACGACUUCAUUGUUGAAGAAGCAUGCAAUGUGAAGGAAUAGAGAUUGAUUUUUCUUCGACAAACUGUCGAAUCCCACUUUCAAAAUGUCUUCAACUUUUCCAUCAAGACUUCCAUCAAUUCUAGAUAAUUGAAGUUCCCACUCUUGCUUGCUCUGCCCACGCAAAGAUGAACCCACGACACAAAGGCCUAAUGGAAGAUUGCCGCAAAGCUCUGCUACUUUAUUGGCAACCUCUUCAAAACCAUUUGGUACAGAGCUUUGUUUGAAAGCAGAGAGACAUAAGAUCUCAAGAGCUUCUUCCUCGGAUGGGAAAUCCACAUGGUAGAUAUCCUUGAUCCCAUGUGCCUCCAAAAUCUUCUUAUCUUCUGUGGUAACGAUGAUCCGGCUUCCAGAACCAAACCAAGAAGGUUCUUUAGCCAAUACCUCUAAUUGCUCUAGAUCAUCUACAUCAUCAAGAAUGAUGAGCACUCUUUGACGUUGUAGCCUUUCUUUGAUUGCACCUAAAUGACGCAUCUUCAUAUUCUCUUGGUUAAAAAUCUUAGACAAAAGUUGGUUUUGCAACCACAACUUGGAAUCAUGGUCAUCAACACCCAUUCUGCUCUUAAGACUACCCUUGAGGUUCCCCAUAAAACAUUUAAGUUGAAAAUUGCUAGAGAGUUGGUUGUCUAAAGCUCUAGCAAUGGUGGACUUACCAAUCCCUGCAGGACCCCAAAUCCCAAUCAUCUUGACUUCAUCACUUUCCAAGCAUAACAAAGAGUUCAAUUUUGCCAAGUGAGCUUCAUGUCCCACCAUCCCGUCAAAAUCCUUCGACGGUGUAAGAUUAAGUUUGUUUGAAACAUCGGUAGCAAUCUUUUUAAUCAUAUCUGCUUCAUUAGCCCUAACAAAAGCAAAACAAAAUCAUGUUGGUGGGUCGAAAUUACAAAAAUUUGAAGCACUAAUUCAUUCAGAGACAAAAAAAAAAAGAAAAAAAAAAAAAGAAGAAGAUAAAAACAAGAUACCAAUUAAGAGAAUGUUCUCCUUCUAUGUUUGCAGCAUGAGUCAAAGCAUUGCUCCAACUCUGCUUCGUCUCCUCACUUUUCCCUUCACAAGUCUUCAUGAAUGCGGUUCCGAAAUCUCCCUUCUGUUUCCGUACACUCGACGGAUCAACGUCAUAGAAGAUGGUCAUCACGAUCUGCCCCUGAUCUUCUUUGCACUUGAAGAUUUCCACAAGUUCAUCUAAACACCAGCUCGAAGAAGCGUACUUCUUCGAGAGCAGCACGAUCGAGACUCGAGAUUCUCUAAUCGCUUGUACGAGCUCAGGUUUAAUCGUGUGGCCUCUCUCGAUCUCCUGAUCUUUAAACGUCGUGAUCCCUUUGCUUGCGAAGUGAUCGUGUAAAUGACUGAGAAACCCUCUACGA
rnacentral:lncRNA from 1 species